GAGAAUUUUGACACUAAUUUCGAAAAAAAUGGUCCAAGAUUGGACCGAACGGACCGAACCGGUUGAACCGGGUCCAAACCGGGCCAUCGGUCCAACCGGGCCAUCACAUUAAAUGAGCCCAACAGCUCUUCUCUCCCACAUUUCACCCGAUAGCAGCGUGAAGCACCCAGGGAAGAGAAGUAGCGCCGAACCUUUACGGCAAACUUCCGUACGCCGUAACUUCUCCGUCCGAGCUCCGAUCGCCGCACCGUUUGCGGCCACGCGUCCACUGCGUCGAGCUCUACAUUUCUACCGGAACAAUUUUACUGGAUCCAAUUAGCUUGAGAGAAACGUUCACUCUUGCUUAUGUGAAGCUUGGGUAAGGUUGUGAAUAAAUAAUUGGAGCUUGAAAUUGUGAAUAUUGGAACUUGGAGGAAGCGGAUUAGUUGAGGUUUUGAGGGCUGUGUUCUUUUAGGAAAAUUUUCUUGGAAUAACACUUGGGAAUCGGCUAAGGUAUGGUUUAGGUUUCUUGCAUUUAAUAUAUAAUGUUCUGUGAAAACUUAGG